GGUUCAUGCUUGUUUGCUACCGGUUGCGUCAGGCCGCCGAUCGCGUGCUGCAAGCGGCCCGGAAUUCGCAUCACUGAUCACGGAGCGCGACCAAGCAAAGUUAGAUUAUCCGACACUUAUCCAAUGUUGUCUCAUAGUAAUUUUAGCUGGUUGUAUUGAAGUAAAGAAUGAAUAACACAUUUACCAAUUGAAGAAGUGGUGUAACGGGUAACGUUGAAGAUUCAUAAUCCAGAGGUCCCAGAUUUCAAUCCUACUAAGUGUCAGCUCGGGUCCAAUCUAUUUCAAUCCAUUUUCAUGGAUUUAAAUUGGCAGCCUUUGUUUCUUAUGCGACAUUCAUAUACAGACGGCAGGGAUUUGAAGGAAGACACCGUCCAACACACAUCAUUAUUAUCCUUUCUACCAUGCUUACAAUGCAAUAUUACAAAAAUAUCCGAUAAACAAUUUUUCAUGCAUGUAUAUAAAUAUAU